rnacentral:rRNA from 1 species
AGCGAACGCUGGCGGCAUGCCUAACACAUGCAAGUCUGACGGGCGGGACUUUCGGGUCCUGUCAGUGGCGGACGGGUGAGGAGCGCGUAGGAACGUAUCCAAGGGUGGGGGACAACCGCGGGAAACUGCGGCUAAUACCGCAUGGGGCCUAGGGGGAGACCUGUGGGCCAAAGCCGGGAGACUGGCGCCGAUGGAGCGGCCUGCGUCCGAUUAGCUUGUUGGUGGGGUAACGGCCUACCAAGGCGGUGAUCGGUAGCUGGUCUGAGAGGAUGAUCAG